rnacentral:rRNA from 1 species
UACGUAGGGCGCAAGCGUUGUCCGGAAUUAUUGGGCGUAAAGAGCUCGUAGGCGGCUUGUCACGUCGGGUGUGAAAGCCCGGGGCUUAACCCCGGGUCUGCAUUCGAUACGGGCUAGCUAGAGUGUGGUAGGGGAGAUCGGAAUUCCUGGUGUAGCGGUGAAAUGCGCAGAUAUCAGGAGGAACAUUGGUGGCGAAGGUGGGUCUCUGGGCCGAAAUUGACGCCGAGGAGCGAAAGCGUGGGGAGUAAACAGG